GAUGAACGCUGGCGGCGUGCCUAAUACGUGCAAGUCGAGCGAAUGGAUUAGGAGCUUGCUCUUAUGAAGUUAGCGGCGGACGGGUGAGUAACACGUGGGUAACCUGCCCAUAAGGCUGGGAUAACUCCGGGAAACCGGGGCUAAUACCGGAUAACAUUUUGAACCGCAUGGUUCGAAAUUGAAAGGCGGCUUCGGCUGUCACUUAUGGAUGGACCCGCGUCGCAUUAGCUAGUUGGUGAGGUAAUGGCUCACCAAGGCAACGAUGCGUAGCCGACCUGGGAGGGUGAUCGGCCACACUGGGACUGAGACACGGCCCAGACUCCUACGGGAGGCAGCAGUAGGGAAUCUUCCGCAAUGGACGAAAGUCUGACGGAGCAACGCCGCGUGAGUGAUGAAGGCUUUCGGGUCGUAAAACUCUGUUGUUAGGGAAGAACAAGUGCUAGUUGAAUAAGCUGGCACCUUGACGGUACCUAACCAGAAAGCCACGGCUAACUCUGUGCCAGCCGCCGCGGUAA
rnacentral:rRNA from 1 species